GACGAACGCUGGCGGCGUGCCUAAUACAUGCAAGUAGGACGCAGUUGCGAACGGGAGAGUAACGCGUAGGUAACUACCUAUUAGAGGGGGAUAAAUAUUGGAAACGAUAGCUAAUACCGCAUACUAGUAGAUGGACCUGCGUUGUAUUAGCUAGUAGGUAGGGUAAUGGCCUACCUAGGCAACGAUACAUAGCCGACCUGGGGGGGAGGACGGCCAAGCUGGGACGGGGGCACGGGCCAGACUCCUACGGGGGGCAGCAGGAGGGAAUCUUCGGCAAUGGGGGGAAACCUGACCGAUCAACGCCGCGUGAGUGGAGAAGGUUUUCGGGUCGGAAAGCUCUGUUGUUAAGGAAGCGGUACUUAACCAGAAAGGGACGGCUAACUACGUGCCAGCAGCCGCGGUAAUUC
rnacentral:rRNA from 1 species